AUACAGAGGGUGCGAGCGUUAAUCGGAAUUACUGGGCGUAAAGCGCGCGUAGGCGGUUAUUUAAGUCAGAUGUGAAAUCCCUGGGCUCAACCUAGGAACUGCAUCUGAAACUGGGUAACUAGAGUUUAGGAGAGGGGAGUAGAAUUUCGGGUGUAGCGGUGAAAUGCAUAGAGAUCCGAAGGAAUACCAGUGGCGAAGGCGACUCCCUGGCCUAGAACUGACGCUGAGGUGCGAAAGCGCGGGUAGCAAACGGGAUUAGAUACCCAAGUAGUCC
rnacentral:rRNA from 1 species